CUCCCCCAUAUCUCUCUCUACGUUCUUUUGCUCCCCCAUCUCUCUCUCUCUUCACACAUUCUCUUUCAUCUUUCUGGGCAAAUCAAUGUGGAAAAAAUCUGUGUUUUUAUCAGUGAUAACAGCAACCUCUUGUAGCUCUCCAAACUGUAAAAAGUAAUGCCGCAUGGUAUCUCUUUGUGUUGCAUUGCUAGCCCUCCAGCAAACAUCUUGAGCAUCCAGGGCUUUUUCGGUCUGAAAGAAGGGAACCCAAAUGAGUGGAUACAGGUCGUUUUUGGCAUGAAACAAUGGAAACCCCAAGAGAAAAUUUGGAAGAUAAAUCAAGAUAUUUGUGGAUUUCAUUCUAAACUGCCAUAUUCCUUUGCAAUUUAUAGUGUACGUGUUAAUUAACGAAAUUAUGGCGGCCAUGAGUUAAGAGUUUUGAAUUUUGAUGUCAUAGUAUUUCUAUCAAAUAUACUGAAAAAAAGGCAUUAAAUUUAGUUAACAGAAAAAUGUUAGAUCUAUUUUUAUCUUUGUUUUUGCUCUUUUUAUUUUCCUGUUUUUUUUUGUUGGAGUAUUGAGAAUUUUUGCAUUGGAUUUUACACAUUUUUGAAAUUUGCCUUAUUGUGCCCUCAAAGUGUUCAAUAAAAUUUUCAGUAGAGGUUCUAGAUCUUAUCAAGGUAAAGAUGGAGCUAAAUAUGUACUGGCCAUGCUAAACAUGCAGAAAGUAAGCGAAAAGGAAGAAAACUUACCAAUUUUGCAAAAGAACCGAGAGUAUGAUUCACGAUUGGUAGAGUUGGAAUGGCUUGAACAAGCAUUCCCUCUCAUCACUUGAUUAUUCAAGUAAGUCACCACCUCUGAUAAUGAAAAUAAAUAUUCUUCCUUAUUGAUUAGGGAGUUCCAUGAAUGGAGUUUGGGCUCCAAAUCAUACUGCUGUGUAUACCAAUUCGAGGUCGAGAAAAACAUAUUAUUGGAUCCCAUUCGUUUUUUUUUCUUUUGGUCAAAAUUUACCCUGCACAUUAUUAUGUCACUCACAAAGCAUCAAUUGGCAUCAAACAUGAAGGGGCUGCUCAUGCAACAACAACCAUCAUAGCCAUGUUACCAACGCCCAUGAAGUGUGAUAGUUUCAACUGCAAUUCCCUAAGAAUGGCGAACAUUGAAGAUGGAAAUAUCAACGAGCUCAAUAGUUUAUGGCAGUCAAUGUGCUGAAUAGUAUUAUGGCAUUUAGAGUUUUGAAUUCAAGAUUGUAUCAAUUGUGAAAGGUUCUUUGAGCUUUCAUUUAUCAAAACCAUUUGGAGGAGCAAAGUUAUCAGCUAUGUUCAAAUAGUGCAAAGCUCAAGAAAGAUAAGCACUUGACAUCCGAAAAGAGCUAUAUGUAUUUUUUUUUUUGUAUAGAAGAAUAAAAGUCUUCUAAUGGAGAGAGAUACAUGUAA